rnacentral:hammerhead_ribozyme from 1 species
GCAUUGCUGAGGAGUCCCAUAAUGGGAUGAAACCGCCGUCCAGUGC